rnacentral:rRNA from 1 species
AACGAACGCUGGCGGCAUGCCUAACACAUGCAAGUCGAACGAGAAUUUCGGGUCUAGUGGCGCACGGGUGCGUUAUGCGUGGGAAUCUGCUCUUUCGUUCGGAAUAAGAGUUGGAAACUAAUGCUAAUACCUGAUGAUGACGAAAGAGCAAAGAUUUAUCGCCAGAGGAUGAGCCCGCGUAGGAUUAGAUAGUUGUUGUGGUAAAGGCUCACCAAGGCGACGAUCCUUAGCUGGUCUGAGAGGAUGAUCAGCCACACUGGGACUGAGACACGGCCCAGACUCCUACGAGAGGAAGCAGUGGAGAAUAUUGGACAAUGGGCGAAAGCCUGAUCCAGCAAUGCCGCGUGAGUGAUGAAGGCCUUAGGGUUGUACAGCUCUUUUACCCGGGAUGAUAAUGACAGUACCGGGAGAAUAAGCUCCGGCUAACUCCGUGCCAGCCGCCGCAGUAA